CCCUUCCGCCCACCUGCCCCCUCCUCCGCUCCGUGACCUUGGGCCUGCCGCUGCUCCUAUUGGGCUCCGGGCUCUGCCUUCUCCACGGGGAAAGGGGGGCUGGGUGAUGUCAGGAUGACGCCAUUGCUGUUGCCGUGGAGACAGGUGCCUUACAAACAUCAACUCAUUCAUUCAGGAGCUGAAUGAAAAGUAUCUCCCUCUGCUGAACAAGCAUCAAAACAGAGGAACUCCUGUGUGUGCAUCUCUUUACCUAUUGCUAUUUUGACUUACUUAACAUAGUGCCAAGUGUGUGAGAGAAGAGCUUUACAGACAUGUAUGAAGACAAGGUCCUGAGAGGAAGUGAUUUUUCUGUUCUAUGCUUGCUGUUGAUGGAUCCUACAAAGUCUUGGCCUAAAGUUUUCAAAACUAUUGCUUUAAAGUAGAACAAAUCUUGAUGGAAUAAAGAAGGACGUGACUAAGCAUUCUUCCUGUGUCACACAGAGGAAGGCGUUUUUGCUGGAAGAGAUUCUCUGCUGAAUUAAUGUACAAUAAUUAUUGUACAAAGUACAACAACAAUAUGAAACUGAGACUGAUUGAGCAGCCAAACAUAGAUAAUCCUGCAGUCUAACGUGAUCAAGUAGACAUCCUUUGUUUGCUACACCAUCAGAAUAGAGGAUUUUAAUCUGCUGUACUAGCUCUGAAGCGUCAGAGAAGUGAAAACACCCAUCAUGCCUUUCAUUGUGCAAGGUUUUCAAUAUGGAGUUGUGGGUGUAUAUGUGCAUGAAUUCCUUCCUGAUUUCACUACUCCUAUCUAGAGACAAAAGUCUGUCCUCAGUCGUGCAUCUGUAGCUGAAAUCAGUGGAAACUGAGCUUAAAAAUCUGAGAGCCUGAACCAAAGCCCAUUUAAAUCAAUGUGAAUUUUCCAUUUACUUAAUGGGACUUCAGGUCAGGCCCUGUGAGCAGAAAUUUGCUCUGCUCUGUGUGCUAAAAUGCAGAUAUUGUUAGUUACAAUUAUCAGGUCAUUUAAAAAAUCUAAAUACAGCCUUUGAUUGCAGGAGCACUUCUGUCUCAACAAACCCAGCAAUAUGGCUUUGCUUGCUUGGUCACCCAGCAGCUGGGCUGUAAUUUUUAGAUCCUUGCAGUUCUUCAUGGGAUUGACUGGAAAGGAAAGCCCCUUUCAGUCCAAUAUAUGGAGCCACCACAAGAAUAGAAAAGAAUCAGCAAUGCUAAGUAAGACUCUUACAGUUGGGUUGAUUGUGCCCAUUUAAGGACUGACUAGCCCACAAAUGUUCUGAGUGUCCAGCCUGUUGUUCAGAGUCCCCAUAGCACUGAAACAUUCACAGCCCUGGCUGUGUCACUCCUUCCUGUAAGAACUAAAAGGUAACAAGAAUCCCAUUUGGGACAGGGACUGUUACUUGCUAUAAAUUGUACAGUGAAAAACACAGUGGUGUACCAAACUUGAUACCUCUGGCAAUACUGUACAAAUAUUAAAUAAUCCUUACAAUCCAUUGUACUUCUAUGAAGAAUAAAGAUGUGAUGCUGUAGCACCUUAAAUCAAGGGAGUUCAAGUAUGUUACAAUAUUAAGUCUGACAGUUUCCCUGUGAGUUAGGCCUAUGUUAUCUGCAUUUUAUAGAGAGGCAAAGUGACUUGCCCAAGAGCCAGUAGAAAGUCACUGGCAGAGAAAGUUACAGAAACUGGGAAUCCUAUCUGCUAGUCACCUGUCCUAAUCACUAGACAAUACUGUCUCACAACACAAACUACUCAAUAAACAAUCUUGCCUAGGGAGAAAAACAGGUAAAUUCCUGUAAGUGUUCUUACUGGGUCUGGAUUUCAAGCCAAGCCAGUCCCUUGCUCUGUAAGCAUUUUCCUGACCAACAAAUGGUGUUAAAGGCCUUUUCUGGAUUAAUGCAAGCAUGUCAACAACAAUAAAAGAUGAAUGGGGAAAGAAAACACUGUACAGGAGAUACACAGAGGAAAAACAAGAUUUCCUGUAAGUGUGCUGGUUAGUUGCCUAAAAACCACUUAGUACUAAAAAAAAAAAAAAAAAAAAAAGGUAAAUUCUCAUCCUUUUCACUGACUAAUUCAGCUGAGUCCGUCAACCUAGUGCUGCAGAAUUUACAGAAGGGAAGGGGAGGAAGGAAGUCUUUUCUAGGUCAAC